AGCCACUCCACAAAUGGCUUCACAUUCUUCCAAAUCAACGAGUCCUUAUUCCCACCACUCAACCCCUCCUCAUACCACUUCACCACAUACUCCUCUUCCAAAAUAUCAACAUCAUACAACGCCUUCAACACAAGCGGAACCUCCUUAACCGCAUUCCCAUUCCCAUUCCGACAAAACUCCUCAAUCGCCCUCAACACCAGAAUCUGCGAUUCCGCCCCUUCACCCACCACAGCCGCCAAAUAACUCUUCUUUUUCACCACAUGUUUUGCAAACCCUUUUUCCACACCAUCAACCACCGCUUCAUAAAUAGCACUCACAUUCUCUUGUUUCGAACCCGACAAAAUCCCCAUCAACUCCUUCGGUGAAACACCCUUUUUAAUAUUCUCCUUCGCCACAUCAGCAAGCUUCUUAUUAUUCCCAUUCCCAUUCCCAUUCCCGUUGACUGCUUUGACUUUUUUCGGCUCCUCGGUUGCUAACAUCACCAUGUCAGCGGUCACGGAACUGAGCUGUUCUUGAAUCCGUUGUCUGGCGGCCUCCGCUGACGUGUCGGUCUGCCAUUGGACGUCCCCGUCAUCUUCCGAAUCGUCCUUGUCGCCAGCCUGGCUGACAGUUGGCGAGACAUGAUCCUCGUCAGAUGCAUUUCCUUUCUUUUUUGUCGGCUUCACAUCUUUCUUCUUAACAUCUUUAGUCAACUUCUUCUGUACUUUAUCAGCAGCUUCACCUUCUUUUAAUCUUUCCUUUUCUGCCCUUCUCAUGGCCUUCUUAUCUUUCCCACCCUUUUUCACUUCUGGUGGAUUUUUCAAAAUAAAUGACGUCAGCUUAUCCCUCAUGUCCACAUCAGACACAAACCCACAAGCAGCACAUUUCAACUGCACCAUUUGAGUUUUUGUAAUCAAGAUUUCAGUUUCGGGAUUCCCGCAUCCGUAACACUGAACGUAUUUUUUUAUGAAAUUUUCAAGAAGACCCGCAAGUUUUGAAGUGUCGUGGGCCCCGUUGACCAGGGACACACCUGUCUUUUCAUCGAAUUUUGAUUGUGCACCGAGUUCACACCCGAAAUAUUUAGUGGUAUAAGAAGGUGGACGAGCCAAAGCUUUUGCCACAUCAACCAUGUUGACUAUAUUUGUUUUGAUUCCAUUUCCACGCCCUUCGAUUUUUGUAAUCAUUUUUGGCAUUUUGUAUCUGUAAAAGGCAUCAUCGCUGUUGCUUGCACCAAUGUUUUGUAAAGCCAUUUUUGGUAAGUGUUGGGAAGUGGUUAAGAUUCUUGAAUCUUGAUAUUAGAUUAGUGAGGUAAUGGAGGUUGAAAAGUGGGGGGUUUUGGAGGGGUAAAAUGGGGAAUUGGAAGGUUGCG
rnacentral:lncRNA from 1 species